rnacentral:rRNA from 1 species
GCGGAGGGAUCAUUACCGAGUUUACAACUCCCAAACCCCUGUGAACAUACCUUACUGUUGCCUCGGCGGAUCAGCCCGCUCCCGGUAAAACGGGACGGCCCGCCAGAGGACCCCUAAACUCUGUUUUUAUAUGUAACUUCUGAGUAAAACCAUAAAUAAAUCAAAACUUUCAACAACGGAUCUCUUGGUUCUGGCAUCGAUGAAGAACGCAGCAAAAUGCGAUAAGUAAUGUGAAUUGCAGAAUUCAGUGAAUCAUCGAAUCUUUGAACGCACAUUGCGCCCGCCAGUAUUCUGGCGGGCAUGCCUGUUCGAGCGUCAUUUCAACCCUCAAGCCCUCGGGUUUGGUGUUGGGGAUCGGCGAGCCUUUCUGGCAAGCCGGCCCCGAAAUCUAGUGGCGGUCUCGCUGCAGCCUCCAUUGCGUAGUAGUAAAACCCUCGCAACUGGAACGCGGCGCGGCCAAGCCGUUAAACCCCCAACUUCUGAAUGUUGACCUCGGAUCAGGUAGGAAUACCCGCUGAACUUAAGCAUAUCAA